rnacentral:rRNA from 1 species
AUUGAACGCUGGCGGCAUGCCUUACACAUGCAAGUCGAACGGUAACGGGCCUUCGGGUGCCGACGAGUGGCGAACGGGUGAGUAAUACAUCGGAACGUGCCCGAUCGUGGGGGAUAACGAGGCGAAAGCUUUGCUAAUACCGCAUACGGUCUACGGAUGAAAGCAGGGGACCGCAAGGCCUUGCGCGGACGGAGCGGCCGAUGGCAGAUUAGGUAGUUGGUGGGAUAAAAGCUUACCAAGCCGACGAUCUGUAGCUGGUCUGAGAGGAUGAUCAGCCACACUGGGACUGAGACACGGCCCAGACUCCUACGGGAGGCAGCAGUGGGGAAUUUUGGACAAUGGGCGCAAGCUUGAUCCAGCCAUGCCGCGUGCAGGAUGAAGGCCUUCGGGUUGUAAACUGCUUUUGUACGGAACGAAAAGCCUUCUUUUAAUACAGGAGGGUCAUGACGGUACCGUAAGAAUAAGCACCGGCUAACUACGUG